GUCUACAGUUAUGCCACCCCGAACGAGCCUGAUUCCAUCUGAUCUCAGAAGCUAAGCAGGGUUGGCCUGGUUAGUACUUGGAUGGGAGACCACCUAGGGAGAUCAGGUGCUGUAGGCA
rnacentral:rRNA from 1 species